GAGAGACUAGCUCAUCUGGAUAGAGCGUCAGCCUCCGGAGCUGAAGGCGGUGGGUUCGAGUCCCGCGUCUCUCA
rnacentral:tRNA from 1 species